UACGUAGGGGGCCAGCGUUGUCCGGAAUCAUUGGGCGUAAAGCGCGCGUAGGCGGCCAGAUAAGUCCGGUGUGAAAGUCAAAGGCUCAACCUUUGAAUGCCGCUGGAAACUGCCUGGCUUGAGUCCGGAAGGGGCGAGUGGAAUUCCUGGUGUAGCGGUGAAAUGCGCAGAUAUCAGGAGGAACACCGGUGGCGAAGGCGGUUCUCUGGGAAUGUCCUGACGCUGAGGAGCGAAAGUGUGGGGAGCGAACAGG
rnacentral:rRNA from 1 species